UCCGUGUGGUGUCAUCUGGCUUACUCAGCAGCUUCGUCCAACUGGGACGUCUAGAGUGGCAGAUAUCUUGGCCUUUUGUUUUCUGUUGGACGAGACACAGUGCUUGUCCACAUGACCUUUCUUUCUCUCCACAUGUUCUUUUAUCCAUUGUUAAUCUAGCUGGGGCUUUUUUGUAGGGUGACUUGCCUUUAAAAGAAUGAGAACAAAGCUACCAGGCUUCUUAAGGGCUUGACCCGGUUCUGGCACACACACUCUUCUGCCGCUAAGUCACGUGCAGCAAGCACUUCGAAGCUGCUUUUGCUAAAGAAUAUUGACUCAAGGAUAAAGGCACAGCGACAGGUCAUUGUCCUACACCUGCAGUCACCUUGGGUUCCAGGAAGAAGAAAGCAAGCCUUUGAAGACGGACCCCCUCCACCAGUCCAAUGCUGCAUGCUGGUGCAGAGGUCAUCUGCGCAUAGAAACCCAGGAUUCACAGAUCUCUGCUUAAAGCAAAGCUUCUGUCCAUACCCUGAAGAUGAACUUGGAGCUAUGGACUCACUCUAUAUGUGUUCCUUUCCCUGAGAGUGAUGAAAUCUCCUUCCCUGCCUUACACCAUUAUUUACUGCCUUAAUUGUUACACUGGGAUGAGUGGGCGCGCCUGACUUGUUAGAGCUGCUGGAUGAGGUUUCUGCUCUAAAACUCCACUUACAACUUGGCCUCUGUGGCCUGUCCCCUUUUUGUGGACUAGUUUAUCACCAGGCCAAGGAACCUAGAGAGCCAGAUUAGCAGAUAUCCCAGUUCCCUCAAGACUGAGGACUGUUCAAACACAAGGGGAAUUGUAACAGAAGCUACUUUUGUUACAAACUAUUGACUCUUCACUUGGGCCACAAAGCCGAUGGCACAAAGGUAAGUCCUUGUCUUAAACCUGCAGUCUCUUUGGAUUCCAGAAGUAAACCAUCAGCCGACCCCAGCCCCCAGCCCUUGUCCCCCAGCCCCGCCACCCUCCCCCCAACACACACAGAUGAGGGCGAUUACUUAUAAGGGUAGGCUGCACUCUGGAGCAGAAAUAAUCAUCUUGUGGGAAACAGGAAAACAGUGAUGCAGAUUAACAGUUUUAUCAGCCACCCUCCUGGAUUGGAGCUGAGGUGAUACAGAUGGGGCCACACCUUCAAGACUGCUUCCUUAUCACACUUUUUGCUCAUAGCCCGACAGUUCUUCCUCUGUUUGAACCUAAAGUCUGUUCCUUCUUCCCGAUGCAUCCCUGAAAUCUCUCUUCUCUGCUUUCCCCGUUGUUCUUUGUCUCUUUGGUUGGCAUGUUGGAACCACCUGGGGAGCGGAGAGUGCCGAUCAUAAAGGCGAGUGGAUUUACUUUGAUUUUGACACAGUGUCUCAAUCUGUAUCUCCGGCUGGCCGAGAACUUGCGAUACAGAUCAGGCUGGCCUCAGGUCACAGAGAUUCUCCUGCCUCUGCUUUCAGAGUGCUGGGAUUAAAGGUAUACACCACUAUGUUCCAAAGUAGUGUGGAUUCAAAGAGAGCAGAAUAGAUUCUACCUUUCUAUUUAGCUUGUUUUCUUUUUCUAUUUAGUUUUAUUUUUUCUAAUUGAUUAUUAUUGUGUGUGGACGUGGUGUAUGUGUGUGGGCACAUGUGGUCAGAGGACAACUGUAUGAAGCUGCUCCUCUUCUUCCACCUUUACAUGGGUUCUGAGGAUUGAACUCAGGUCAUCAGGCAGUGUACAUGCUUGGUCCUCAAGGGGGUCAGAAGAGGGUAUCAGACCCCCUAGAACAGAAGUUACAGAUUGAACCAUCAUGUGGGUGAUGAGAAUCAAACCUGCUUCCUCUACAAGAGCAGCAAGUACUCUUAACCGAUGAGCCAUCUCUCCAGCCCUUGUUUGUUGGUUUUUGAGACCGUCUCACUAUGUAAAUCAACCUGUCCUUGGUUCAUAGAGAGCCACCUCUGCCUCCCGAGUGCUGGCAUUAAAGGCUUUUUUAAAAGUGUGUAUUUUUAUGACUAUUAUUAUUAGUUUAUGGUUUAGAUGAUCUCAGUUUUGUUGGCAACAUGCAUCCCAGUCAGGAGCCAGCCGAACAUGUGCAUGCUCUCAGGCCUGAGCAGGGUGUUGGCUCAGGCUACACGAGUGUCGUAGAUUUUCUGUACAGCUCCUUUGCUCUGGUGCCUGUUGGCCGUGCAUCCACAGAGAACACAAGUCUGCUGCCUUCUCUCUUCUUUAUGGCUGAGUGGUCAGGGGAACUUAUGAUGACGUAGUGGUCAAGCUUGUCUUUCUGGGGAUGCUCUUGUGAGGGCACUUGGGCUGUCUCUCAAGCCACGGAAGGUGAGCCUCCAGAAGGUAAGGAUCUUUGUGACUGUGGUGCCUUUCUGCACUGUCUCUUGCUUUCACUGUCUUCAUUUUGGCUUUGGCUAGGAGCAGUUGGGCAAAGUCUCCUUCUUUUAGCACCCUCUUGGUGGAAAAAAGUCUUUUGUCAGUGUUCUAGUGCUGUGAAGAGACACCAUGACCACUGCAACUCUUAUAAAGGAAAGCAUUUCAUCGGGGCUGGUUUACAGUUUCAGAGGUUCAGUUUAUUAUCAGCAUUAUGGAAAGAAUGGCAGCACGCACAGAGAAGAUGAGAGUUCUACAUCAGACCCACAGGCAACAGGAAGAGGGAGGCACUGGGUCUGGCUUGGGCUUCUGAAACCCCAAAGCCCACCCCCAGUGACACACUUCCUCCAACUGGGCCACACCUAGUCCAACAAGGCCACACCUCCUAAUCCUUCUUAAGUAGUGCCAUUCCGUAAUGACCAAGCAUUCUCAAAUAUAUGAGCCUACAGGGAUCAUUCCUAUUCAAAAAUCAACUUUGUUUUUUUGAGACAAGGAAAAGAAAAGAAACCAAUAAAACCUCUUAUUUGGGAAGAGGGAACUGGAGAGAUAGCCCACUGAUUAAUAACUCUUGCUGUUCUUGGAGAGGACUUGUGUUUGAUUCCCAGCUCCCCCAGGCAGCUCACAAUCAUCUGUAACUCUGGCUGCAAAGGAUAUGACACUAUGACAACCUCUUCUGGCCUCCAUGACUGCACUCAUUUGCACACACACAUACACACUAAUGUUUUGUUCUAAAAAAAAAAACAACAGCUAGGUGGUAGUGGCAGCUAAUGCCUCUAAUCCCAGCACUUGGGAAGCAGAGACAGGGAGAUCUCCGUGAGUUCAAGACUAGUCUGGUCUACAAAGAGAGUUCCAGGACAGCCAGGGCUACACAGAGAAACCCCAUCUCAAAAAAAAAAAACCACCUCUUAUUCAGUUUGACCUGUUAAGUUUGUACUGUUUCCCUGUACCAUGGACUGAGGGCCCAAGACCAUUUGGAGACAUUCCAAAUCAAAACAGCAGCAUCCAAACGGAGCAGUAGUGGCGCACGUCUUUAAUCCCAGCACUCAGGAGACAGAGGCAGGCGAAUCUCUGAGUUCGAGGCCAGCCUGGGCUACAGAGAGAGUUCCCAGGACAGCCAGGGCUGUUACACAGGGAAACCCUGUCUCAGGAAGAAAAAAAAAAAAAAGCUACACUCUCCCCCAGCACUCCUUCACCCCUGGAACCACAGUGAGGAUGUGGGAGUGGCCAGCAAGGCAAGUUGCAGACUGAAGUUUCUCACACUACGGUUGUCCCUCUCCCUUUUGUUCAUUGCUCUUUAGUGUGUGUACAUGUAUGUGUGUUGCCUAUGUGUGUGUGUGUGUGUGUGUGUGUGUAAGACAGGUCUCAUGGGGCCAGAGAGAAAUUACUGUUCUACAGAGGACCUGGGUUUGGUUUCCAGAACCCACACGGUGGCUCACAGCCACCUAUAACUGCAGUCCUAGGGGAUCUGAGCUCUGCAGGCUUCUGUAUGACAUCACACACACACACACACACACACACACACACACACACACACACACACACACACACACACAUAAAUAAAAGACAGCAUCUCAUCUGUAGCCCAGACUGGCCUGGAGCUCACAGCAAUCCACCUGUCUCUGAGUCCAGAGUGCUGGGACUAAAGGCGUGCAACCACCAUGUGUAGCACUUCUUUCUCACUGGGACCGCCAGCCUCUAAAUAAUGACCUGGAAACUUAUUAUUAAUUAUGGAAGCUUGGCCUUAGCCUAGACUUGUCUCAACUGACUCUUAUAACUUAAAUUAACCCAUUUUUUUUUAAAAAGAUUUAUUUAGUAUACAAUGUUCUGCCUGCAUGUAUGUCUGCAGGCCAGAAGAGGGCGCCAGAUCUCAUUAUAGAUGGUUGUGAGCCACCAUGUGGUUGCUGGGAAUUGAACUCAGGACCUCUGGAAGAGCAGCCAGUGCUCUUAACCUCUGAGCCAUCU